rnacentral:rRNA from 1 species
UCAGAACGAACGCUGGCGGCAGGCUUAACAGAUGCAAGUCGAGCGCCCCGCAAGGGGAGCGGCAGACGGGUGAGUAACGCGUGGGAACGUACCCUUUUCUACGGAAUAACGCAGGGAAACUUGUGCUAAUACCGUAUGUGCCCUUUGGGGGAAAGAUUUAUCGGUAAAGGAUCGGCCCGCGUUGGAUUAGCUAGUUGGUGGGGUAAAGGCCUACCAAGGCGACGAUCCAUAGCUGGUCUGAGAGGAUGAUCAGCCACAUUGGGACUGAGACACGGCCCAAACUCCUACGGGAGGCAGCAGUGGGGAAUAUUGGACAAUGGGCGCAAGCCUGAUCCAGCCAUGCCGCGUGAGUGAUGAAGGCCCUAGGGUUGUAAAGCUCUUUCACCGGACAAGAUAAUGACGGUAUCCGGAAAAGAAGCCCCGGCUAACUUCUUGCCAGCAGCCUCGGUAAUACAAAGGGUGCUAGCGUUGUUCGGAAUUCCUGGGCGUAAAGCGCACGUAAGCGAAUCGACCACUCACGGGUGAAAUCCCAGGGGUCAACCCUGGAACUGCCUUUGAUACUGUCGAUCUGGAGUAUGGAAGAGGUGAGUGGAAUUCCGAGUGUAGAGGUGAAAUUCGUACAGAUACGGAGGACCUCCACCGGCGAAGGCGGCUCACUGGUCCAUUACUGACGCUGAGGUGCGAAAGCGUGGGGAUCAAACGGCAGUAGAUACCCUGGUAGUCCACGCCGUAAACGAUGAAUGUUAGCCGUCGGGCAGUAUACUGUUCGGUGACCCCGCUAACGCAUUAAACAUUCCGCCUGGGGAGUACGGUCGCAAGAUUAAAACUCAAAGGAAUUGACGGGGGCCCGCACAGCGGUGGAGCAUGUGGUUUAAUUCGAAGCAACGCGCAGAACCUUACCAGCCCUUGACAUGCCCGGCUACCUGCAGAGAUGCAGGGUUCCCUUCGGGGACCGGGACACAGGUGACCGAUUCCCCUGGUCGAAUCGUUAAGGGAGAAGUUGGGCCAAGUAACAGAAUAAGCGCAACCGUCUACCUUAGUUGCCAGCAUUCAGUAGGGCACUGUAAGGGGAAUCCUGUUGAUAAGCCGAGAGGAAGCUGGGGAGGGUCACUAAUGGUCCAGUGCGCUGCGGGCGCCACUGCUGUUCCUCUACAAUGGUGGUGACAGUGGGCAGCGAGCACGCGAGUGUGAGCUAUUUUCCAUAAUCCAUAUCAACACGUAUCAAAGGUAGUUACAGGGAUGCCCGAAGGAUUUCACGCUUGUAAGAUCGGAUCCGCCUACGGCGCUGAACGCCCAGUAAUUCCGAACACACAUAGCCCCUCUCGUCUUACGACGGGGUUUGGCACGAAGUUAGCCGGGGCUUCUCAUCGGGACACCUCACCACGGUAGGGUCAGCGACU